CAGUCGCCACGGGAAUACGUAGGUGGCAAGCGUUGUCCGGAAUUAUUGGGCGCAAAGGGCUCGCAGGCGGUUUCUUAAGUCUGAUGUGAAAGCCCCCGGCUCAACCGGGAAGGGUCAUUGGAAACUGGGAAACUUGAGUGCAGAAGGGGAGAGUGGAAUUCCACGUGUAGCGGUGAAAUGCAUAGAGAUGUGGAGGAACACCAGUGGCGAAGGCGACCCUCUGGUCUGUAACUGACGCUGAGGAGCGAAAGCGUGGGGAGCGAACAGGAUUAGAUACCCCCGUAGUCCCUGUCUCUUAUAC
rnacentral:rRNA from 1 species